GGCUUUUGCAUCUCCGUCACUAGACUCUUGGGUUAGAUGAUCCUGAACACCUUGGCCUUUACACCACAACUCGACAGACGAAUCCCAAGCUAGGUAGUUUGAACCUCCCAUUAAAGGUUCUGAGGUAUUCAUAAUACCGGAACUGCCAGAACCCUGUUUUCUAGACCCGAAAGCAUCUAGUCCCAAAGACAUCUUUGGAUUAUCAACUGAAAGUCGCUGAAACUGAAACAGAGAACUGAAAACUGGCGCUGCCGGAAAACGGGAACACUGUAGCUGNNN
rnacentral:lncRNA from 1 species